UACGUAGGGUGCGAGCGUUGUCCGGAAUUAUUGGGCGUAAAGAGCUUGUAGGCGGUUUGUCGCGUCUGCUGUGAAAUCUCAAGGCUCAACCUUGAGCUUGCAGUGGGUACGGGGCAGACUAGAGUGUGGUAGGGGAGACUGGAAUUCCUGGUGUAGCGGUGAAAUGCGCAGAUAUCAGGAGGAACACCGAUGGCGAAGGCAGGUCUCUGGG
rnacentral:rRNA from 1 species